CCUGGCAGGGUGAUAGCAGGGCCGUGCUCAGUCAGAUCCUGGCAGGGCGAUAGCAGGGCUGUGCUCAGGCAGGUCCUGGCAGGGCGAUAGCAGGGCCGUGCUGAGGCAGGUCCUGGCAGGGCGAUAGCAGGGUUGUGUUCAAUGACAUAGCAGGUCCUGGCAGGGCGAUAGCAGGGCCGUGCUGAGGCAGGUCCUGGCAGGGCGAUAGCAGGGCCGUGCUCAGUCAGGUCCUGGCAGGGCGGUAGCAGGGUUGUGUUCAAUGACAUAGCAGGUCCUGGCAGGGCGAUAGCAGGGCCGUGCUCAGGCAGGUCCUGGCAGGGCGAUAGCAGGGCCGUGCUCAGGCAGGUCCUGGCAGGGCGAUAGCAGGGCCGUGCUCAGGCAGGUCCUGGCAGGGCGAUAGCAGGGUUGUGUUCAAUGACACAGCAGGCCCUGGCAGGGCGAUAGCAGGGCCGUGCUCAGGCAGGUCCUGGCAGGGCGGUAGCAGGGUUGUGUUCAAUGACACAGCAGGCCCUGGCAGGGUGAUAGCAGGGCCGUGCUCAGUCAGGUCCUGGCAGGGCAAUAGCAGGGUUGUGUUCAAUGACAUAGCAGGUCCUGGCAGGGCGAUAGCAGGGCCGUGCUCAGUCAGGUCCUGGCAGGGCGAUAGCAGGGUUGUGUUCAAUGACACAUCAGGUCCUGGCAGGGCGAUAGCAGGGCCGUGCUCAGUCAGGUCCUGGCAGGGCGGUAGCAGGGUUGUGUUCAAUGACAUAGCAGGUCCUGGCAGGGCGAUAGCAGGGCCGUGCUCAGGCAGGUCCUGGCAGGGCGAUAGCUGGGUGACGGCUGUGCCGGCGCUGUGUGCAGGGCUGGAGCCGCAGGGCAACACGGUGCUGCAGCCGGCUCGCUUCACGGUGGAGACGCAGGAGGCGGGCAGCGGGGAGGUGCUGGUGUACAUCCAGGACCCCGAGGGACACACCGAGGAGGUAUGGGGGGCGCCGUGGGGCCUGCGGGGUCACUGCGGGUCCUGUUGGGUCCUGUCGGGUCACAGUGGGUUGUAGUGGGUCCUUUUGGGUCCUACGGAGCACCAGGGGGGUCGUGUUGGGUCCUGCUGGGUCGCAGUUGGUCCUGUUGGGUCCUGUUGGGUCCGACUGAGCACCAGUGGGGAGCUGUUGGGUCCUGUUGGGUCGCAGUGGGUCCUGUUGGGUCCUACUGAGCACCAGGGGGGUCCUGUUGGGUCCUGUUUGAGCACCAGUAGGUCCUGUUGGGUUCUGUUGGGUCCUGCUGAGUGUUGGGGGGGUCCUGUUGGGUCCUGUUGGAUCCUGUUGGGUCCUGUUGAAUAGUAGUGGGUCACAGGGGGUCCUGUUGGGUUGCAGUGGGUCCUGUUGGGUCCUGUUGGGUCCUGUUGGGUCCUGUUGGGUCCUGUUUGAGCACCAGUAGGUCCUGUUGGGUUCUGUUGGGUCCUGCUGAGUAGUGGGGGGGUCCUGUUGGGUCCUGUUGGAUCCCGUUGGGUCCUGUUGAAUAGUAGUGGGUCACAGGGGGUCCUGAUGGGUUGCAGUGGGUCCUGUUGGGUCCUGUUGGGUCCUGUUGGGUCCUGUUGGGUCCUACUGAGCA